rnacentral:rRNA from 1 species
UCCCCACCCCGGUGAGAAUGCCCUUAACAUCAAUUUAGAUCAAGAGGAGCAGGCAUUAAGCACACUAUUUAGUAGCUCAAGAUGCCUUGCUUAACCACACCCCCAAGGGAAACAGCAGUGAUAGAAAUUUAGCAAUGAACGCAAGUUUGACUAAGUUAUGCUACUCUAGGGUUGGUAAAUUUCGUGCCAGCCACCGCGGUCAUACGAUUAACCCAAACUAAUAAAUUUCCGGCGUAAAGCGUGAUUAGAACCAAAACAAGAAAAAUAAAAUCAAAUAACAACUAACUGUAAAAAGUAAUAGUUGCAAACAAAAAUAAACGACGAAGGUGAUUUUAUAACCUUCGAACUCACGAUAGCUAAGACCCAAAACUGGGAUUAGAUACCCCACUAUGCUUAGCCCUAAACCUAAAUAAUUCCAUAACAAAAUUACUCGCCAGAGAACUACAAGCCAGAGCUUAAAACUCAAAGGACUUGGCGGUGCUUUAUACCCACCUAGAGGAGCCUGUUCUAUAAUCGAUAAACCCCGAUAAACCUUACCACUCUUUGCCAACUCAGCCUAUAUACCGCCAUCUUCAGCGAACCCUAAAAAGGAACAAAAGUAAGCUCAAUUAUCCCCAUAAAAACGUUAGGUCAAGGUGUAGCCUAUAGAGUGGAAAGUAAUGGGCUACAUUUUCUACUUCAGAACAUACGAAAGCCCUUAUGAAACUCUAAGAGCCAAAGGAGGAUUU